GAUGAACGCUGGCGGCGUGCCUAAUACAUGCAAGUCGAGCGAAUGGACUAAGAGCUUGCUCUUAUGAAGUUAGCGGCGAACGGGUGAGUAACACGUGGGUAACCUGCCCAUAAGACUGGGAUAACUCCGGGAAACCGGGGCUAAUACCGGAUAACAUUUUGAACCGCAUGGGUCGAAAUUGAAAGGCGGCUUCGGCUGUCACUUAUGGAUGGACCCGGGUCGCAUUAGCUAGUUGGUGAGGUAACGGCUCACCAAGGCAACGAUGCGUAGCCGACCUGAGAGGGUGAUCGGCCACACUGGGACUGAGACACGGCCCAGACUCCUACGGGAGGCAGCAGUAGGGAAUCUUCCGCAAUGGACGAAAGUCUGACGGAGCAACGCCGCGUGAGUGAUGAAGGCUUUCGGGUCGUAAAACUCUGUUGUUAGGGAAGAACAAGUGCUAGUUGAAUAAGCUGGCACCUUGACGGUACCUAACCAGAAAGCCACGGCUAACUACGUGCCAGCCGCCGCCGUAA
rnacentral:rRNA from 1 species